CCCUUGGAGUGUUAUAUCAAACGAAAGUAGUAUAUUCUUUUAGAAUUACAAAAUCGGACACAUUGAACAGGGAA
rfam:Clostridium carboxidivorans P7 ctg00199, whole genome shotgun sequence.